UACGAAGGGGGCUAGCGUUGUUCGGAAUUACUGGGCGUAAAGCGUGCGCAGGCGGAUUCUUAAGUCAGGGGUGAAAUCCCGAGGCUCAACCUCGGAACUGCCUUUGAUACUGGGGAUCUUGAGUCCGGAAGAGGUGAGUGGAACUGCGAGUGUAGAGGUGAAAUUCGUAGAUAUUCGCAAGAACACCAGUGGCGAAGGCGGCUCACUGGCCCGAUACUGACGCUGAGGCACGAAAGCGUGGGGAGCAAACAGG
rnacentral:rRNA from 1 species